AUUGAACGCUGGCGGCAGGCUUAACACAUGCAAGUCGAGCGGUAACAGAGAGAAGCUUGCUUCUCUGCUGACGAGCGGCGGACGGGUGAGUAAUGCCUAGGAAUCUGCCUAGUAGUGGGGGAUAACUUGCCGAAAGGUAAGCUAAUACCGCAUACGUCCUACGGGAGAAAGGAGGGGACCUUCGGGCCUUUCGCUAUUAGAUGAGCCUUGGUCGGAUUAGUUAGUUGGUGAGGUAAUGGCUGACCAAGACCGCGAUCCGUAACUGGUCUGAGAGGAUGAUCAGUCACACUGGAACUGAGACACGGUCCAGACUCCUACGGGAGGCAGCAGUUGGGAAUAUUGGACAAUGGGGGGAACCCUGAUCCAGCCAUGCCGCGUGUGUGAAGAAGGUCUUAGGAUUGUAAAGCACUUUAAGUUGGGAGGAAGAGCAGUUAACUAAUAUUUGACUGUUUUGACGUUACCGACAGAAUAAGCACCGGCUAACUUCGUGCCAGCCGCCGCCGUAA
rnacentral:rRNA from 1 species